rnacentral:rRNA from 1 species
CCAAUAGCGUAUAUUAAAGUUGUUGCAGUUAAAAAGCUCGUAGUUGAAUUUCGGGGUUAGUAGGUUGGUCAUGCCUCUGGUAUGUACUGAUCUCACUGAUUCCUCCCUCUUGACGAACUGUAAUGUCAUUAAUUUGGUGUUGCAGGAAAUCAGGACUGUUACUUUGAAAAAAUUAGAGUGUUUAAAGCAGGCUAAGGCUUGAAUACAUUAGCAUGGAAUAAUGAAAUAGGACGUUUGAACCUAUUUUGUUGGUUUCUAGGAUCGACGUAAUGAUUAAUAGGGAUAGUUGGGGGCAUUAGUAUUCAAUUGUCAGAGGUGAAAUUCUUGGAUUUAUUGAAGACCAACUACUGCGAAAGCAUUUGCCAAGGAUGUUUUCAUUAAUCAAGAACGAAAGUUAGGGGAUCGAAGACGAUCAGAUACCGUCGUAGUCUUAACCAUAAACUAUGCCGACUAGGGAUCGGAUGAUGUUAAUUUUUUAAUGACUCAUUCGGCGCCUUACG